GUGAUUAGCUCAUGUCUCGAUCGACACACACUGUACGGGGGGUGAAUGUUUUGAUGACUCAUCAGUUUUGAUUUGAUGAAGGAUAAGAGUUAUUCACAAUAAGGCGUGUAGCUGACCUGAUUGACAGGUGGGCGCAGUGUAACGGUUUGUCAGGAGGUUUAAAACCCGCCUCAGCUCCAGCUCUCAGCCUGUCGUUAGAAAGUUAGGCUGGGAUUGCUCUAUAGUAUCCUACUGCUCCACCGCCACUGAGAAUCAGCUGGGAAAAAGACUACAACAACAACAACAACAAUAAUAACAGCAGGGUGUGUUUUUUCUUGCCUUAACUUUCCCGUACAUUACACUGUGGAGACCAUUCCACUCAGGAUACCGUGACCUCUGACCUUUUAAGUGUAAAUUUAUUUCUCACCUCGUCGUGGUGUAUUUAAAAUUGUGAGGGUCGAACGUGUCACACAGAAAUCUAAACUGACCCUCUCCUUAAAGCCCGAUCACAGAGAGGGACGUCGCAAACUAAUCGUUUUCUUCCUCUGGUACGGCGUGCAUGCCGGGCGCUCUUCUCUGCUGCACAAUGCGUUUUUCUAGCUUUUUUUUAUGGUCGCACAUAAUGGUUUAAAAAUGUUCAACAUUUCAGCUCAAGACGAGAAGCCGUCAUGCUCGUCGAUGUCACUUUUGCAUGAAGUAGCGAAUCAAAUCCUGUUGGAGGAUUUAUUUUUUCCAUCUCGGGCGUUUUCAUGAGUCACGCCUGGUUUAAACAUCCGUGUUGAAUCUUCGCCUUAGCAGCGCCGUAGUGACCUACGUCUUUGUGAGCGCCACAUACUCGGCCAUACUGCGCCUACAAACCCGUCCGCAGUGUCCGCAUCUCUGAGCUAGUUACAUCACCAGGUUUGGAGACUGAAACAGGGCGUGUUGUGUUGGAGCUGAUGAAUCCAUGCCGGUCCAAUCACAGGGCUUGAAGUGGCGUCGAUUUUACGCGUAGUGAACGUCGGACUACGUUUGUACAGGCAUAGAGUACUGGUUUCCCUCUUUCACAGAUAGAAGAUUUAAUCGUAAAUGAUCUGAGAUGUCACAGUUUCUUUCUUCUUGAUUCUUAGUCCGGUUUUUAAAAUCAGUUAUAAAACGACCACAGAAGAAGAAAAAGAUGAACAUGAAUCUCUUUGCAUUUUCAGAGGCACUUUGUCUCCUCCUCCUCCCGCAUUCCCACCUGACUCACCCGGUUUCUCCACAGCCUUUGACCUCCCCUCCCCUCCCCUCCCCCAACACACACACACACACACACACACACACACACACACACACACACUACCAUGCAAACAAGGGGACGGGUCUCAUGAUGGUAUUGUUUAGGGAGGGAAGUCACACUGAAAGUCUCUGAAGUGACGAGAUGAAGAACGGACUCCUGUCCUUUAAUACAUCACGUUUUAUAACUUCUGUUAGACGUUUUAAAUUCAGAUUUUUAUUGAACACUGAAAGGCAACACGAUAUCAGUCAACAGUCGACUAGUCAUCGAAUCAGCAGAAACUAUUACAAGUUAAUAUUUGUCUAUUUAAUCGAAUCUAAUAUUUAAUUUGCCUUUAUUGCUCUGUGUGCCUUUGAAUUGCCCCCCGGGGACAAAUAACGUUUUUUGAAUUUGAAUUUGAAUUCAUAUUCUCUUCUUCUUCUUGUCUUUUUAGCGCUGCAACACCUGAAUUUCCCCUCUCGAGGUCGGUUAACGGACGGUCUGAUGUAGAGAACAAACCAAAUGACGUGAAGUAGCAUCGCCAUGGAGUCUAUGGAGAAUUCGCCUCUGGGAUUUCUGCAGAAAAUAAGCUCUGUGGCAAACACGUUUCUGAUGCGUAGGCGUUUUGUUCAGCAGGAGAAUCUUCACAAAUGGACGCCAUUUUUAUGAUGUUUGAAGCGUUAAUGCGGCCAACAGAAGUAAAAAGCUAACGUUAUGCUACAAGCUAACUACACCACGGUUGGAUGAUUUUGACGUCACUACCGAUAUGCUUCAGACGAUCUCAGAUGAGCUAAUCUGCGGUUUUUGACAAGCUAGCGAAACCGUAGCUUCAUAAAUUGUUUAUAAACCGUAUAUAUUUGGCUUAACCCGGUGUUUGUGUCUGUCGUGAUGGCGUUUAAUGAUAAUAACAACCACUGUAGUCUCAUUUAGCCACUUGUUAGCAACCGCCUUGCUAACGAGUUGAUGCGUAAAAUCUUUCAAAUUCACAAGUGGGGGUAUUACCUAACGUAGUUUAUGUGUUCUAACAAAACGCUAACAUCUCUUCAGCUUGUGUUAACCACAGGCCUUAUUUCAAUUGUCUAACCACAAACCCAUUCAUAAUCCCUGUUAACUUUUAGACGUUAGACCCCAUGGCGCUAACAUGCUAACUUACUUCCUAGUUUUAGGACUCAUUCCUGCCGCGCCCUAUUACGUGAACUGAUUAUUCCAUAAAUCUUUGUUCUUUCUCGUUUUCUUCCAUCGGAGGUCUAAACUGAACAACUUCCUGUUAACAAUCUGAUUGGUUGAAGGUUUCUGAAGAUUCUCGGAAAUAUGGGUGACGAUGUCUCGUGAAGGGUUUGGGGGGUCCCGAGGCCCGACCAGCUGAGAGGCUCCGCUCUGAAGAACUUUUAGAUUUAAAACUCGAGAGACAUUUUGAAAUACGGACGUUUAACUAGACCGACUUUAAAAGAGCUGAACACUUCUCUAACCCUUUAACAUAAAUAUUUAUCCAUCAGACUAUUAAAGAAACUUUUCAUCAAACAAACGAGGAGGGAAACUACGGAGCGUGCACGAGGAGGUCACCAACUCGCUCAGAGUCUCCACACAAACGUUAAAUAUACAUUCUUCAUUUUACACUCGGCAAAUGUGUAACGCUGCUUCUUCGUGUUUCAGGUCAACACCGCAGCGAGGGAUCGUGAUCAUUCUCAUCGUGUGGACGCGUCACAAAUCUCACACUUUAUUCUGCAUUAAACCUUCAGGAGGCCGAGACGUUUUAACUCCACGACUCGUCAGAGAAUCUUCAGUUUUAUAAAGUGGAGGGCGUCGACGAGUUCGGGUGAAGAAGUGACGUCAUGUUUUAUUCUUUGUCGUCCUCGCUGUCAGAAUCUCGACGAUGGACUGAACACUCAGGCGUUUUGGUUUAACGGUUGUUUCAGCGCUCACAUGUUGUCAGCUUUUCUGUCUGCAGCUUUUUAAAAACAUGAUUUACACGUAAUAAAACGUGUUUCUACUCUGA